AGAACGAACGUUGGCGGACUGGAUUAGGCAUGCAAGUUGAGCGUACCCAGCAAUGGGGAGCAGCGUAAGGGGCAGUAAGGCAUAGGUACCUACCCGCGGCUCGGGCAUAGCCUGUAGAAGUACAGGGUAAUUCCCGAUGAUGACGCAAGUCUAAAGUUCCGGCGGCAGCGGAGGGGCCUAUGUGAUAUUAGCUAGUUGGUAGGGUAACGGCCUACCAAGGCGAAGAUGUCUAGCGGGUGUGAGAGCACGACCCGCGCCACUGGCACUGAGACACUGGCCAGACACCUACGGGUGGCUGCAGUCGAGGAUCUUCGGCAAUGGGGCGCAAGCCUGACCGAGCGAGUCCGCGUGGGCGACGAAGGCCUUCGGGUUGUAAAGCCCUGUCGAGAGGGAGAAAGCGCAAGCUUGAUCUAUCUCUGGAGGAAGCACGGGCUAAGUUCGUGCCAGCAGCCGC
rnacentral:rRNA from 1 species